GGGGUUCAGCAGCCCACACACUACAAUGGGAACGAUACAGAGAAGAUCAGCAUGUCCCCGUGCAAGGAUGACAUGCAAAUCUGAGAAGUAGAAAAAAACAAU